AAGUCCUCACUGGCAGGUUUACAGUAGGGAACCCCUCCAUGCGGCGGCCGCCCCCACUCAGCCCCCGGGACCCCUCCAGUGACCUGUACGACUCGUGUGUAGACAACUGGGUGGACCCCCAGAUCUAUGUUAUCUUUAACGACGACCAGAGCUACCCCUACUUUAUCAUCCAGUACGAAGAGGUUCCCAGUACCGUGGCUAUCUGACACGAGAGCAGACCGAACCAAACCUAGUACUGUAGCUGAGAACAGACCAGACCGAACCAAACCUAGUACUGUGGCUGAGAACAGACCAGACCGAACUAAACCCAGUACUGUGGCUGAGAACAGACCAGACCGAACCAAACCUAGGACUGUGGCUGAGAACAGACCAGACCGAACCAAACCUAGUACUGUGGCUGAGAACAGACCAGACCGAACCAAACCUAGUACUGUGGCUGAGAACAGACCAGACCGAACUAAACCCAGGACUGUGGCUGAGAACAGACCAGACCGAACUAAACCCAGUACUGUGGCUGAGAACAGACCGAACCAAACCUAGUACUGUGGCUGAGAACAGACCAGACCGAACCAAACCUAGUACUGUGGCUGAGAACAGACCAGACCGAACAAAACCCAGUACUGUGGCUGAGAACAGACCGAACCAAACCUAGUACUGUGGCUGAGAACAGACCAGACCGAACCAAACCCAGUACUGUGGCUGAGAACAGACCGAACCAAACCUAGUACUGUGGCUGAGAACAGACCAGACCGAACCAAACCUAGUACUGUGGCUGAGAACAGACCAGACCGAACCAAACCCAGUACUGUGGCUGAGAACAGACCAGACCGAACCAAACCUAGUACUGUGGCUGAGAACAGACCAGACCGAACCAAACCUAGUACUGUGGCUGAGAACAGACCAGACCGAACUAAACCCAGUACUGUGGCUGAGAACAGACCGAACCAAACCUAGUACUGUGGCUGAGAACAGACCAGACCGAACCAAACCUAGUACUGUGGCUGAGAACAGACCGAACCAAACCCAGUACUGUGGCUGAGAACAGACCGAACCAAACCCAGUACUGUGGCUGAGAACAGACCAGACCGAACCAAACCUAGUACUGUGGCUGAGAACAGACCGAACCAAACCCAGUACUGUGGCUGAGAACAGACCAGACCGAACCAAACCAGAGCUACCUCAUACUGCAUCAUCAGUAUGAAGAGUUAACCAGUACUGUCAACAUCUGAGACCUAUUGGUUCCUCCCUACACCCGUCAUCCACAGCAGCUUCCGUCUGUAUGCUGUUGGUGUGAAGCCCUUAAACUGGACAGUGGAUUGCGUUUCAUUUGUACACAAUGCUGUGUGAAUAGACAUUAGCGUCUGCCAUUUUGGGUCUGAACAGUUUAAUUUGGACACAAUGCUGUGAGAAUAGACAUUAGCGUCUGCCAUUUUGGGUCUGAACAGUUUAAUUUGGACACAAUGCUGUGAGAAUAGACAUUAGCGUCUGCCAUUUUGGGUCUGAACAGUGGACAGUUUAAUUUGGACCCAAUGCUGUGUGAAUGGAGAAUUGCCUUGGCGUCUGCCAUUUUGGAUCCCCGUCAGGCCUGAACAGUGGACAGAGUCACUGAGACUCAGUGCUGGAGUGACCGCAUAACGUUUCUGUUUAAAACAUGACCCCCAUCUCUCUCUCUCUCUCUCUCUCCCUAAGACCUCUUUCUCUCAGAGGGCAGACAUAUUUGGUGAGAUAAGCUGUACGUACGUUCCUCUUGUUUAUAUUUGAACUGUGUGCCUUUUGUUCAUAAAAAUGUUUAUUUAUGUUAGUUAAAUGUAACAUUGAGUAAAUAAAUAAUCUAAAAGAGAAAAUCA